rnacentral:ncRNA from 1 species
AGCACUAUCAGUUUGCCUGGUUAUGUCCGAUGAUAGAUGACAAUGAUUACCCUAGUAACGUCGAGUGAAACGGGAAGAGCUCAAAGUGAAAAUCGUGAGUCCCCUUUUGGCCUCACGGAUUGUAGCCUCUAGAGGUGUUGCCAGUGGGAGGGCAGGUUUACGUUUCUUGGAACAGAACUUCAGAGAGGGUGACAGUCCCGUCCUUUGUCCUGCUUUUGUAUUUUCCCACGUGCGGCGCGCUUUUAUUGAGUUGCGUUCAUUGGGAUUUGAGCGCAAAAUGUGUGAUAAGUUUCACAUAAAGCUAAAUACUGGCGUGAGACCGAUAGCGAACAAGUACUGUGAAGGAAAGAUGAAAAGGACUUUGGAAAGAGAGUUAAAAGUGCCUGAAAUUGCUGAAAGGGAAGCAAUUGGAACUUUUGUGUUUCUGGGGUGAUGAUAGAUUUUAGUGGCUAUUUUUCUCAUAUUUCCGUUGUGGUAGUUUGAUAUGUGGAGAGCGGCCUAGUUACGGCCCUAGCGAGGCCGGCAGCGGGGAGAACGCGACGUGUGUGCAUUCAAGUGGGGUUGCAGAAAAGAAAGAACAUGUACCUCAAUGUGUAGCUCUUGGCGAGGAGAGGCGAAGGGGGAAGCAGUAGCGUAAGCAGGCGUCUCUGGCUUUGCGAU